ensembl:lincRNA
AGGUGCCUUCUGUCUGGAGCAUCAGGCCAAACUUCUGCUGUCCAGAAUCAGGUGGUUUGUCUUGGUCGGGCAUCUCAGCUGGGACCUGUCCACUAUGGGUGACCCUGCCGGUAGCUGUGAAGUACCAGUGGCGUAGCUCUCAGCAUCACUGAUGCACACAAGCCCUUACAGCACGUCGGGCUGCAAACCAUGUGAGGGACCCUAACCUACCCUAACCCAGCAGCCAACACUAACAACCACUAAUGUGCCAAAAAACACUCAGAGGAGACCAGCAACACGCAAGAAACCGCCUGGAAAACCUUGCUAAACGCAUGUCAACAUUCAAAAGAACCCAAGAGCCGAAUAUGAACAGCACCGACAAUCACCAAAACAUCCAGCAAUGUGAUGAAAACUUAAAUAAGAUGUCAAAUGUGAUGUUUUGCAAGCUUAUUGUGUAACUAUACAAUAUGUACAUAUGUGCCCUUGAUCCUCCAUCUGGCACGAGGAUGGCUCAGUGCCUGAGCUUCUUUCUUCGGGGCUCCUUGGGCAGCGGCUCUUUGCUGAUGUCCACCUUGAUUUGGGGAGCGAGGCUGGACUCAGAUCUGCACUCUGUGAUGAACACACAUCCAUCAGGCUGCUCAGUCUCCAGCAGUGCAGGCCGGUCCAGCUUCUCCCACAGCCGCUGCUUGAUCUCGAGGCCCUGCUGGAUGGUGUAUCGGCCAUGGCGCUUCUUCACGGUGGAGUCCAUCACACUGCGGUAGAUGUGCUGAUAGUCCUGCACACUCCGGCCGUGGAUGGAGAGCGGCUCCUCCUGCGGACACUCACCCACUGAGGCUGUGGGACGGAAGACAGGAAGGACAGCCGCGUUUCUCAGGUGUCGCUGUUCCAGAGAAGUGUCUGACAUGCAGCUGGAGGUGUCCAGCCUGACCGCUGUGGAAGCAGAAGAGACGCACUCCAGCAAGAACUCCUUGAGUUUGGAUGUUAUACAGAAGACGGACGGCUACAUAGCUACUCUCGCGGUGGGCGGGGAAUCUUUUGAGUGACAGCAGCUGCCGAUUGAGCGCCCCUACUUAAAACGUAUUUCCAGGUAAAUUCUCUGUGCUUGUUUAUUUCGAUCAUCUUCAGCUCCUGAUAUAAAUUAAGUGUCAUCAAGGCAUGGUUUCUGCCGAGGGGACCUGUCGAUGAUCGCUUUCAUAACUUAAGGGUGAGUGCCAUUUUUCGUAUAUGUGCAUUAAUGAUACUGGGCCCCAACAAAUAACAAACACACACAUAAGAGUGACAUUUGUGUCUUAUGAGGUGUAAAACUUUGACUGUUUGGGACUAUUUAAACGCUUUUUGUUUGAAUCUGUUGAUUUUAAUCGGCAUGAAUCGUUCAUAAGAACCGGAUGACAAUUUGAUUGUGGGAAAUGGGAUUGUUUUUUGACUUUCGGUUUUAUUAAUCCUGUAUUUGUAGUAAAUCCCAAUUCAUUACUAAUUUAUGUACACACAAGUUGUCUAGAAAAAAGUGCUACUUGUAAAUUAAAAGAUUUAAAGUACUGUUAUUCUAUUGUGAGGUUAAAACCAAAUCUCUCUCAGAUAAAAGGGACACUGUUAUUUAUUUCCACACAACUUUUUGUUUUCUUUUAUUAUUAUUUUUUUUGUUUUUCAUAACACAAUUGUGGUUGUGGUAGAGUGUUGAAUCUUUUUUCUUUUAUUAUCAUUUAUUUAAUCUCAGCUUCUAAUAAAUACUUUAAAUAAUCAGAAACAUAUUUGCUGGUAUUUAUUUAUACUCUGUAGCAUAAGGACACAUUUUAGAGGAACCGCUUUAUAUUAUUUUAUUUUAGGAUUUUUGUUUUUACUGCAUUAAUAGCAACCACACCUAAACAUUCAGUAUAUUUCUCAAACCAAGAACUGGGAAAUCAGGUUCCUGUGUGCUAUUGAAUCCCUAAAGGUGUCAAAAGAUGGUUACAUAGGUUACCCCUUAAAAGAGAGUGUGGUUAAUCUGUAGCACACUGAGUGAGAUUGUGUUUUUCUUAUCAAAUACAAUAUAUUUUUAUGGAUUAUUUUUUACAAAUUGUUCACACAGUGGUAACAUUAUUCAUGGUUAAUUAAUUCUGUCUUUUUGAUUAUAUUAGUGUCAAAUUAUUUUAUGAUUUAUGCAUAAAUUUGUCGUUUGAUAAAGGAAUAACAACUCGCUUGUGACUCGUACACCUUUAACC